GAGUUUGAUCCUGGCUCAGGACGAACGCUGGCGGCGCGCCUAACACAUGCAAGUCGAACGGAGUUAUUCUGAAUGAAGUUUUCGGAUGGAUUUUGGAUUAACUUAGUGGCGAACGGGUGAGUAACGCGUGAGUAACCUGCCCUGGAGUGGGGGACAACAGUUGGAAACGACUGCUAAUACCGCAUAAGCCCACGGUGCCGCAUGGCACAGCGGGAAAAGGAUUUAUUCGCUUCAGGAUGGACUCGCGUCCAAUUAGCUAGUUGGUGAGGUAACGGCCCACCAAGGCGACGAUUGGUAGCCGGACUGAGAGGUUGAACGGCCACAUUGGGACUGAGACACGGCCCAGACUCCUACGGGAGGCAGCAGUGGGGAAUAUUGCACAAUGGGGGAAACCCUGAUGCAGCGACGCCGCGUGGAGGAAGAAGGUCUUCGGAUUGUAAAACUCCUGUUGUUGAGGAAGAUAAUGACGGUACUCAACAAGGAAGUGACGGCUAACUACGUGCCAGCAGCCGCUGU
rnacentral:rRNA from 1 species